rnacentral:lncRNA from 1 species
CCCCCAUGGGCAUCAUUACAGCCCCACAUGCUCCUCUGCAGCCCCACAUGCACUGUUGCAGCCCCACAUGCACCCCUGCAGCCCCCAACGUGCAUCAUUGCAGCCCCACAUGCACCAUCGCAACCCCUCAAGGGCAUCAUUACAGCCCCACAUGCUCCCCUGCAGCCCCACAUGGGCAUCAUUGCAGCCCCCCAUAUGCACCGUUGCAGCUCCACAUGCUCCUGUGCAGCCCCCCACGGGCACUGUUGCAGCCCCACAUGCUCCUCUGCAGCCCCACAUGCACCGUUGCAGCCCCCCAUGGGCAUCGUUGCAGCCCCACAUGCUCCCCUGCGGCCCCACAUGGGCAUCAUUGCAGCCCCACAUGCACCAUUGCAGCCCCAAAUGCACCAUUGCAGCCCCCCAUAGGCACCAUUGCAGCUCCACACGCACCAUUGCAGCCCCCCAUGGGCAUCAUUGCAGCCCCACAUGCACCGUUGCAGCUCCACAUGCUCUCCUGCAGCCCCACAUGCACCGUUGCAACCCCUCAAGGACACCAUUGCAGCCCCACAUGUACCACUGCAGCCCCCCAUGGGCAUCAUUACAGCCCCACAUGCACCCCUUGCAGCCCCACAUGCACCGCUGCAACCCCACGACCACCGUUGCAGCCCCACAUGGGCAUCAUUGCAGGCCCACAUGCUCCCCUGCGGCCCCACAUGGGCAUCAUUGCAGCCCCACAUGCACCAUUGAACCCCCACAUGCACCGCUGCAACCCCACGACCACCGUUGCAGCCCCACAUGCACCUCUGCAGCCCCACAUGAGCAUCAUUACAGCCCCACAUGGUCCCCUGCAGACCCCCACAUGCACCUCUGCAGCCCCCCAUGGGCACUGUUGCAGCCCCACAUGCACCAUUGCAGCCCCACAUGCACCAUUGCAACCCCUCAAAGGCAUCAUUGCAGCCCCACAUGCUCCCCUGCAGCCCCCCAUGAUCCACNNNNNNNNNNNNNNNNNNNNNNNNNNNNNNNNNNNNNNNNNNNNNNNNN